rnacentral:rRNA from 1 species
ACUAAUACAUGGCAAGUCGAACGAACUUCCGUUAAUUGAUUAUGACGUACUUGUACUGAUUGAGAUUUUAACACGAAGUGAGUGGCGAACGGGUGAGUAACACGUGGGUAACCUGCCCAGAAGUAGGGGAUAACACCUGGAAACAGAUGCUAAUACCGUAUAACAGAGAAAACCGCAUGGUUUUCUUUUAAAAGAUGGCUCUGCUAUCACUUCUGGAUGGACCCGCGGCGUAUUAGCUAGUUGGUGAGGUAAAGGCUCACCAAGGCAGUGAUACGUAGCCGACCUGAGAGGGUAAUCGGCCACAUUGGGACUGAGACACGGCCCAGACUCCUACGGGAGGCAGCAGUAGGGAAUCUUCCACAAUGGACGCAAGUCUGAUGGAGCAACGCCGCGUGAGUGAAGAAGGGUUUCGGCUCGUAAAGCUCUGUUGUUAAAGAAGAACGUGGGUAAGAGUAACUGUUUACCCAGUGACGGUAUUUAACCAGAAAGCCACGGCUAACUACGUGCCAGCAGCCGCGGUAAUACGUAGGUGGCAAGCGUUAUCCGGAUUUAUUGGGCGUAAAGCGAGCGCAGGCGGUCUUUUAAGUCUAAUGUGAAAGCCUUCGGCUCAACCGAAGAAGUGCAUUGGAAACUGGGAGACUUGAGUGCAGAAGAGGACAGUGGAACUCCAUGUGUAGCGGUGAAAUGCGUAGAUAUAUGGAAGAACACCAGUGGCGAAGGCGGCUGUCUGGUCUGCAACUGACGCUGAGGCUCGAAAGCAUGGGUAGCGAACAGGAUUAGAUACCCUGGUAGUCCAUGCCGUACACGAUGAUUACUAAGUGUUGGAGGGUUUCCGCCCUUCAGUGCUGCAGCUAACGCAUUAAGUAAUCCGCCUGGGGAGUACGACCGCAAGGUUGAAACUCAAAAGAAUUGACGGGGGCCCGCACAAGCGGUGGAGCAUGUGGUUUAAUUCGAAGCUACGCGAAGAACCUUACCAGGUCUUGACAUCUUCUGACAGUCUAAGAGAUUAGAGGUUCCCUUCGGGGACAGAAUGACAGGUG